UGGGGAAUAUUGCACAAUGGGCGAAAGCCUGAUGCAGCAACGCCGCGUGAGUGAUGAAGGCCUUCGGGUUGUAAAGCUCUGUCUUUUGGGACGAUAAUGACGGUACCAAAGGAGGAAGCCACGGCUAACUACGUGCAGCAGCCGCGGUAAUACGUAGGUGGCAAGCGUUGUCCGGAUUUACUGGGCGUAAAGGAUGCGUAGGCGGAUUUUUAAGUGAGAUGUGAAAUACCCGGGCUUAACUUGGGUGCUGCAUUUCAAACUGGGAAUCUAGAGUGCGGGAGAGGAGAAUGGAAUUCCUAGUGUAGCGGUGAAAUGCGUAGAGAUUAGGAAGAACACCAGUGGCGAAGGCGAUUCUCUGGACCGUAACUGAUGCUGAGGCAUGAAAGCGUGGGUAGCAAACAGGAAUUAGAUACCCUGGUAGUCCACGCCGUAAACGAUGAGUACUAGGUGUAGGAGGUAUCGACCCCUUCUGUGCCGCAGUUAACACAAUAAGUACUCCGCCUGGGAAGUACGAUCGCAAGAUUAAAACUUAAAUGAAUUGACGGGGUCAUAGC
rnacentral:rRNA from 1 species